UACCUACUCCCUCCGUUCCGAAUUACUUGUUAUAGGUAUGGAUGUAUCUAGAUGUAUUUUAGUUUUAGAUACAUCCAUUUCCGUGACGAGUAAUUUGGAACGGAGGGAGUAGCUU
rfam:Triticum aestivum genome assembly, contig: Triticum_aestivum_CS42_TGACv1_scaffold_271903_3DS